rnacentral:rRNA from 1 species
UACGAAGGGGGCUAGCGUUGCUCGGAAUCACUGGGCGUAAAGGGUGCGUAGGCGGGUCUUUAAGUCAGUGGUGAAAGCCCGGAGCUCAACUCCGGAACUGCCAUUGAAACUGUUUAGCUUGAGGACGAGAGAGGUGAGUGGAAUUCCCAGUGUAGAGGUGAAAUUCGUAGAUAUUGGGAAGAACACCGGUGGCGAAGGCGGCUCACUGGCUCGUAUCUGACGCUCAGGCGCGACAGCGUGGGGAUCAAACAGG